rnacentral:rRNA from 1 species
GACGAACGCUGGCGGCGUGCUUAACACAUGCAAGUCGAACGAUGAAGCUGGAGCUUGCUCUGGUGGAUUAGUGGCGAACGGGUGAGUAACACGUGAGUAACCUGCCCUGGACUCUGGGAUAACCCCGAGAAAUCGGAGCUAAUACCGGAUAGGACAUUGCACCGCAUGGUGUGGGGUGGAAAGUUUUUCGGUCUGGGAUGGACUCGCGGCCUAUCAGCUUGUUGGUGAGGUAAUGGCUCACCAAGGCGUCGACGGGUAGCCGGCCUGAGAGGGUGACCGGCCACACUGGGACCGAGACACGGCCCAGACUCCUACGGGAGGCAGCAGUGGGGAAUAUUGCACAAUGGGCGCAAGCCUGAUGCAGCAACGCCGCGUGCGGGAUGACGGCCUUCGGGUUGUAAACCGCUUUUAGUAAGGAAGAAGGGGCUUCGGCCUUGACGGUACUUGCAGAAAAAGGACCGGCUAACUACGUGCCAGCCGCCGCCGUAACAC